UGGGAUUCCACGGACCCCCCCAAGAGACUCUGUGUCCCAUGAUCAUCUGCCCUACUGGGUCUAGGAGGCUGUACACAUUGAAAUCCACACCCUCAGUGGGGAGGGAGAGAGGAGGUAUUGAGGAUACAAAAGUGACCAGGACUCACCAAACCCCCUGCCUCCCGGGGCCUACAUUCAAGAAAGUAAACACACAAACCGCAUUACACGUCAGACAGUGCUGUGUCCCAUGGAGCAGGGAAAACGCUGACCUCAUGACCUGCACGCGGAAUAUGGGUUGAGGCCUCUAUGAGCUGGGCCUAGGAGGCAGUCUGAAUGGAGUCUCCCUCUGUCGCCCAGGGUGGAAUGCGAUGGCGCUAACUGAAGAAUCUUGCUCUAAAACCUCCUGUGGCUCCCUAGUGCCCUCCAGGCCUAGGUCCCUGUGGGUGGCCCAGCCCUCACCUCACCGUGCUCAAGGUAUCUGUGUCCAGUUCUGCUUCCCCUGACAGUGUG